rnacentral:rRNA from 1 species
AACGAACGCUGGCGGCAGGCCUAACACAUGCAAGUCGAACGCCCUAGCAAUAGGGAGUGGCAGACGGGUGAGUAACGCGUGGGAACCUUCCCAGUGGUACGGAAUAACCCAUCGAAAGAUGGGCUAAUACCGUAUACGCCCGCAAGGGGAAAGAUUUAUCGCCAUUGGAUGGGCCCGCGUCGGAUUAGCUGGUUGGUAGGGUAACGGCCUACCAAGGCGACGAUCCGUAGCUGGUCUGAGAGGAUGAUCAGCCACACUGGGACUGAGACACGGCCCAGACUCCUACGGGAGGCAGCAGUGGGGAAUAUUGGACAAUGGGCGCAAGCCUGAUCCAGCCAUGCCGCGUGAGUGACGAAGGCCUUAGGGUUGUAAAGCUCUUUUGGCGGGGACGAUAAUGACGGUACCCGCAGAAUAAGUCCCGGCUAACUUCGUGCCAGCCGCCGCCGUAACAC